rnacentral:rRNA from 1 species
ACCAGACUCCUACGGGAGGCAGCAGUGGGGGAUAUUGCACAAUGGGGGAAACCCUGAUGCAGCGACGCCGCGUGUGGGAAGACGGUCCUCUGGAUUGUAAACCACUGUCCCCAGGGACGAAGAUGACGGUACCUGGGGAGGAAGCUCCGGCUAACUACGUGCCAGCAGCCGCGGUAAUACGUAGGGAGCGAGCGUUGUCCGGAUUUACUGGGUGUAAAGGGAGCGCAGGCGGCACGGCAAGCCUGAUGUGAAAGCCCGCGGCCCAACCGCGGGACUGCAUUGGGAACUACCGGGCUGGAGUGCCGGAGAGGUAGGCGGAAUUCCUAGUGUAGCGGUGAAAUGCGUAGAUAUCAGGAGGAACACCGGCGGCGAAGGCGGCCUGCUGGACCGUAACUGACGUUGAGGCUCGAAAGCGUGGGGAGCAAACAGGAUUAGAUACCCCGGUAACC